rnacentral:misc_RNA from 1 species
GAUGAAGAACGUAGCAAAAUGCGAUAAGUAAUGCGAAUUGCAGAAUUUCCGUGAGUCAUCGAAUCUUUGAACGCACAUUGCGCCCCCUGGCAUUCCGGGGGGCAUGCCUGUCCGAGCGUCAUUGCUGCCCUUCAAGCCCGGCUUGUGUGUUGGGUCGUCGUCCCCCCCGGGGGACGGGCCCGAAAGGCAGCGGCGGCACCGCGUCCGGUCCUCGAGCGUAUGGGGCUUUGUCACCCGCUCGAUUAGGGCCGGCCGGGCGCCAGCCGGCGUCUCCAACCUUCUAUUUUACCAGGUUGACCUCGGAUCAGGUAGGGAUACCCGCUGAACUUAAGCAUAUCAAUAAGCGGAGGA